rnacentral:tRNA from 1 species
CGGGGGCGAGGAAGACGGUAAUCCGCCUGUUUUGGGAACAGGAUAAACGGGGUUCGACUCCCCGGUCCCCGAC